rnacentral:rRNA from 1 species
AUGUACAUUCUUACAACAUAGUGUUAAUGCACCAGAUCCCAUUAGAACUCGGUAGUUAAGCACACUUGGGCUAGAGUAGUACUAGGAUGGAUGACCGCCUGAGAAGUCCUAGUAUUUUACAUG